UACGUAGGGUGCGAGCGUUAAUCGGAAUUACUGGGCGUAAAGGGCGCGCAGGCGGCUCGACAAGUCAGAUGUGAAAGCCCCGGGCUCAACCUGGGAACGGCAUUUGGGACUGUCGGGCUAGAGUUCGGGAGAGGUGGGUGGAAUUCCGGGGUGUAGCGGUGGAAUGCGUAGAGAUCCGGAAGAACACCGGUGGCGAAGGCGGUCUGCUGGGCCAAGACUGACGCUGAGGCGCGACAGCGUGGGGAGCAAACAGG
rnacentral:rRNA from 1 species